AUGUCUGGGAAACUGCCCGAUGGAGGGGGAUAACUACUGGAAACGGUAGCUAAUACCGCAUAACGUCGCAAGACCAAAGUGGGGGACCUUCGGGCCUCACACCAUCGGAUGUGCCCAGAUGGGAUUAGCUAGUAGGUGGGGUAACGGCUCACCUAGGCGACGAUCCCUAGCUGGUCUGAGAGGAUGACCAGCCACACUGGAACUGAGACACGGUCCAGACUCCUACGGGAGGCAGCAGUGGGGAAUAUUGCACAAUGGGCGCAAGCCUGAUGCAGCCAUGCCGCGUGUAUGAAGAAGGCCUUCGGGUUGUAAAGUACUUUCAGCGAGGAGGAAGGCGUUGUGGUUAAUAACCRCAGCGAUUGACGUUACUCGCAGAAGAAGCACCGGCUAACUCCGUGCCAGCAKCCGCGGUAAUACGGAGGGUGCAAGCGUUAAUCGGAAUUACUGGGCGUAAAGCGCACGCAGGCGGUUUGUUAAGUCAGAUGUGAAAUCCCCGGGCUCAACCUGGGAACUGCAUUUGAAACUGGCAAGCUUGAGUCUCGUAGAGGGGGGUAGAAUUCCAGGUGUAGCGGUGAAAUGCGWAGAGAUCUGGAGGAAUACCGGUGGCGAAGGCGGCCCCCUGGACGAAGACUGAC
rnacentral:rRNA from 1 species